rnacentral:lncRNA from 1 species
CCCCACCCCUCCCCUCCCGCUCCCCUCUCCCCCACCCCUCCCCUCCCUCUCCCCUCUCCUCCCUCCACCCCUCCCCCGACACUCUCGGUCUCUCUGUCUAAAAUAAACCGAGGUGGUCCCUGGUCUGGGCGUCCUAGGACGUGUCUGAACACCCCGCGGAGGAAGAAGACAGCACCAGCCACUGCUGGCACGGGGCUGCAGCCCCUGGCUACACACACCUCCGAAAGACAGCGGCGACUUCGGACACCUCUCUCCUGCCCCAGCCUGACUCCCCAGGGGCGGUGUGAAACCACGAGUGAUAAUAUCUCCAUCGCCAGCUUUGAACUUCAGGUAGAAGGAGACCUUAUGGCAGUUGGACUAUCUGAGAGACCUGGUGCCCUGUGCCGCCUCCUGCAUAAUGCAUGCGCGCGUGGUAGGAACAGAACCCCGUCCGUGGUGAGUCUGGCCACUGUGGGCCAUGGACGUGUCCAGAGGCCUUGCCAAGGCUGAUGUCUCUAGGAUGUUGGCAGGAGAUGAGGAGACAGAGGGAGUAUGUGUCACCUGAAAAUUUUCCUGGGGCUGAGGUGGGAACAGGUUGCAUCUUGAGCCUCAGGAUUCUGCAAAGAAAAUAGGGGAAGACAUGAGUUCCCAUGGCUCAGCGGUAAGGAACCAAAAUAAUACCCACGAGGACGUGGGUUUGAUCCUUGGCCCUGAUCAGUGGGUUAAGGAUCCGGCAUUGCUGUGAGAUGUGGUGUAGGCUGCAGACUUAGCUUGAAUCCUGCAUUGCUGGCUGUGGGGUAGGUCAGCAGCUGCAGCUCUGAUCUGCAGACCCUAAAAAAGAAAAAAAGAAAAAAAAAAGUGGGCAGUCAGAGUGCCUCACAAGCCCAGGGAAGGCAUCACCUCAUUGGUUGGAUUCCACUCAUUCAUAGAAUCAGUAAGUACUCAAGGCCAAGCUAACUGCUAGGGCUUAAGAUAUGAAGAUGAGGAGUUCCCAUUGUGGCUCAGUGGUUAACGAAGCCAACUAGGAACCAUGAGGUUGUGGGUUCGAUCCCUGGCCUCACUCAGUGGGUUAAGGAUCUGGCGUUGCCUCGAGCUGUGGUGUAGGUCGUAGACUCAGCUCAGAUCCCACAUUGCUGUGGCUCUGGCGUAGGCCAGCGGCUACAGCUCUAAUUGGACCCCUAGCCUGGGAACCUCCAUAUGCCCCGGGUGCAGCCCUAGAAAAAAAAGACAUGAAGAUGAAUCAGGGGAGUUCCUGUUGUGGCUCAGUAGGUUAAGGACCCAAUGUUGUCUCUGUGAGGAUGUGUGUGCAUUUGAUCUCCGGCCUUGCUCAUUGGGUUAAGGAUCCAGUGUUGCUGUGGCUGUGUUGUAGGCUGGCAGCUGCAGCUCUGAUUCAACCUGUGGCCUGUGAACUUCCAUAUGCCACAGGUGCAACCAUAAAAAGAAAAGAAAAAAAAAAAAGGUGAAUCAGGGAGUUCCCGUCGUAGAUUAGUGGGUUAAGAAUCUGGGAGUU